rnacentral:lncRNA from 1 species
CUUCUGAAUAGUCUUGAAACAUAAACGUUAUAUAUUGAAACAGUUACUAUAAAUUGAGAAGAAAUAAUUUGCCUGACCGCUUAACGCAUGGCCGCAAUGCAAUAGUUGUCAAUCUGAUGUCUUUCUGCUUCCGGUAAUAUAAUUGUUACCUUUAUAAGACAAUAGAGACUGUUUGGUUUGGUUUGUUUCAAUUCAAUAUAGUAUUCUUAUUUAUCAUCUUUCUUCAAGCUACUGAUGUCUACUCCACCUAAAAAUUAAAAGAUGUAAAGAUUUUUUUAAUACAGUUUGAGCAAUUUAGUUUUUUUUAUCAAUUUCCUAUUGCUUCAUUUUUA